rnacentral:rRNA from 1 species
UUGGAGGGCAAGUCUGGUGCCAGCAGCCGCGGUAAUUCCAGCUCCAAUAGCGUAUAUUAAAGUUGUUGCAGUUAAAAAGCUCGUAGUUGAAUUUCGAGACCGGCUUACUGGUCGUGCUUUUGUACGUACUGGUAUAAUCGGUUUCUCCUUUCUGACGAACUUUAAUGCCAUUAAUUUGGUGUUUUAGGGAAUCAGGACUGUUACUUUGAAAAAAUUAGAGUGUUUAAAGCAGGCUCACGCUUGAAUACAUUAGCGUGGAAUAAUGAAAUAGGACGUUUGACCCUAUUUUGUUGGUUUCUAGGAUCGACGUAAUGAUUAAUAGGGAUAGUUGGGGGCAUUAGUAUUCAAUUGUCAGAGGUGAAAUUCUUGGAUUUAUUGAAGACUAACUACUGCGAAAGCAUUUGCCAAGGAUGUUUUCAUUAAUCAAGAACGAAAGUUAGGGGAUCGAAGACGAUCAGAUACCGUCGUAGUCUUAACCAUAAACUAUGCCGACUAGGGAUCGGAUGAUGUUAAUUUUUUAAUGACUCAUUCGGCGCCUUACGGGAAAC